rnacentral:rRNA from 1 species
UACGGAGGGAGCUAGCGUUGUUCGGAAUUACUGGGCGUAAAGCGCGCGCAGGCGGUUCUUCAAGUCAGUGGUGAAAGCCCGGAGCUCAACUCUGGAAUUGCCUUUGAGACUGAGUGGCUUGAGUACGAGAGAGGUGAGUGGAAUUCCCAGUGUAGAGGUGAAAUUCGUAGAUAUUGGGAAGAACACCGGUGGCGAAGGCGGCUCACUGGCUCGUAACUGACGCUCAUGCACGACAGCGUGGGGGAUCAAACAGG